AACUCUUGUUUCUCUUCAGAUCGUAUAAAUCUUUCGCCUUUUACUAAAGAUUUCCGUGGGGAGGAACAACAAGAGUUUGAUUCAGUUUUUUGAUGCCCUACAGUAGUAGGGCC
rnacentral:snRNA from 1 species